UACGUAGGGAGCAAGCGUUGUCCGGAAUCAUUGGGCGUAAAGCGCGCGUAGGUGGCCUCAUAAGUCCGCUGUGAAAGUCAAAGGCUCAACCUUUGAAAGCCGGUGGAUACUGUGGGGCUAGAGUACGGAAGAGGCGAGUGGAAUUCCUGGUGUAGCGGUGGAAUGCGCAGAUAUCAGGAGGAACACCAAUAGCGAAGGCAGCUCGCUGGGACGGUACUGACGCUAAGGCGCGAAAGCGUGGGGAGCGAACAGG
rnacentral:rRNA from 1 species